CAGCACCUCAAGUGGUCAGGAUGAUUAUUGGGCCUAAAGCAUCCGUAGCCGGCGCUGUAAGUUUUCGGUUAAAUCUGUAUGCUCAACAUACAGGCUGCCGGGAAUACUGCAAAGCUAGGGAGUGGGAGAGGUAGACGGUACUCGGUAGGAAGGGGUAAAAUCCUUUGAUCUAUUGAUGACCACCUGUGGCGAAGGCGGUCUACCAGAACACGUCCGACGGUGAGGGAUGAAAGCUGGGGGAGCAAACCGGAUUAGAGACCCGAGUAGUCC
rnacentral:rRNA from 1 species